AAUUCAACGCGGGCUAACCUCUUAUAUAAAUGCGGAAGUCAGCUUCCUCAUAGCGCAAAUGGUGUGUUUGUGUGUGAAUGUGAGAGCGUUGUGUGAGUGAAUGUGGCGUGAUUGUGUGUGUAUGUUUCUGUAAAAUUUUAAAACCUACACAGUGAUCUUAUUUGAUCCGGUCGAAGUUCGGCCCUGCUCCGAUCGGAGGUGAUAGGAAAAAGCGCUCGCGAGCCUCCACCAUCGUGGAUGGCGGUGAGCAGCCGGCGAGAAACAAGCUCCGGGGCCUCCACGCUUCGUGCUGUGGUCAGAAGUGAUGAAUUGAUCAGAUAUACUAGUUCUGGGUGGGCUUGGGGUUCGCCUUUAAGCUUCACCCGUGAGGACAAUGAGUAAAGAGGCGAUUCUGAUCUAA
rnacentral:snoRNA from 1 species